ACACUUCCCAUUAAGCCGGCAUCGCCUAUAUCGGGCGGUGCCGGUUUCGACCGGCUAUGGCGAUAAACUGCGGCGUGCAAUAGGCGCAGCGGACCCGGGGGCAGUACCCGGCGGCUCCACCACCUCUUCCGGUCGUUGCGGAGGAAAUGACGGGGCCGAACCAGGAUCGACGUGUGCUGAAAAGCGCUGUUUUCGCCCGGGCUGAGUAACCCGCAAAUAGGCUCACAACACACAAGUGCCAACGACAACGAAGCACUUGCUCUCGCUGCGUAAUUCUAGGGCCUAACGGCCUGAAGUUACAAAGACUUGAGCACGGUUCGGACCGAACCGGGUAACAGAAUCGGAAACC
rfam:Altererythrobacter dongtanensis strain KCTC 22672, complete genome.